AGGAAGUCCUGGAUGAGGCCAGCAGUGUCCAGAAGUACCUAACAUUUCUAUCUCAGCUCAAAUUGCUGUAGUUAAUGCUGCUCUGGCUCCAGCUCCUUCUCCGAGUCCUUGGUUGCCCAUGCACAUGGCUUGAAGUGUCCUUGGGUGUAUCUGAGCUCCAAAUUUAGGGUGUUGCUGAGCAUCCAGUUCAGAUCCUCUUAGAAUCAGGGCCAUUCUAGGAGAGUUACUGGACUAGGAGUUUUGGUCCUUUGCCUGGCAAUACAGGUUCUUCAGGGGUUUUAGCUUCAUUGAGUUCUAGUCUGGUGGAUCCCUUCCUCAGCUAGGUUAUUGAAGAUAGCAUCCUACAACUUUUAAUUUGUGGUCCUGGACCCUAAAUCAUAUAGCUUGCUGGACUCAUACCAUAUAUUUAUAAGCACUUUGGUGUUAACCUCAGGCCAGUGAGACACACACUAGGAGUUUGCUGUCCUGGAUGUCAUCUGAUCAGAACAAGUGCAGUAGCAGUGCUAUACAAAUAUUACAGGUACAGAGAGCCGCCUGCUAAGGUGGGGUCCAAAUGCUGAAGCAGGCUAUUUAUACUGGCUGGGGAUAACUCAGUCCAGAACAAGGGAGCAAGUAGAUAGACACAACAAAGGCCGCAGAGGGAAUUUUGGGAAGGCAUUGGAGGACUGUUAGUACUCAAGUGAACUCUUGAGGCAUUCACACAGCAGCUCAAGCAUCAGCAGCACCCACGCUUCAUUUUAUAUCCCCUACAGGAAAUCUAGGUUGACUUUAAAGAACCAUCAGUUUGAGAUUUUUGUAUGUGGAUGGGAGUCAGAUCAGAAACAAAAGUUGAAUUAUAACUUGAAUUAACUUUGCAGUGAAGCCAUGCUCUCAGAACAGAAGACGAUGUAUCCAUACUGUCACAUAAUCUGCAUAGGAAAAAGUGGUGACUCCAAGGAUGACAUUAUAUGAUGGAGCCAAAAGUUGGCACUGAAGUUGCUGUCAUAAACAUUAUUCCACUGGCUGGAAGUUAAAGCCAGACAAAUUCAAAUUAGAAAUAAGGCAGUUUUUUAACAGUGAGGAUGACUGACCAUUGGAACAAACAACCCAGGGAAAUGAUGGAAACUCCAUCUAUUAAUGUCUCUAAGACUGGAUGCCUCUAUGGAAGCUAUGCUUGGGCUCAAUACAAAGGUAAGUGGAUGAAAUUCUGUGCCCUGUGUUAUACAAGAGGUCAAACUAGAUGAUCUAAUGGUCCCUUCCUUAAAAUCUAUGAAUCACCAGAUUUUGGUGUUCCCUAAUAUAAAAAUGUAGGUACGUCUGUUCAGAUGGAUGCUGUUUUUCUACCACAGGGCUCUGUGUUGGUUUCCAUCACCCCAAUAUCUGAGCAUGUGUUUGUUUGAAUGGUAAUGAGAUUGCAUCAACAUCAACAGAAAGUCAUUCACUAUGACCUUGCUCUUAUUUGCCCUUCUUUAGUGAGAUGAACUGUAUAAAUCAUUCGUCCCCAUGCUAGGAAGUCACUUAAAUAGCAACCUCCCACACAAAGAUUAAAUUGAAAUGUGUAGGCACUUCUCAAAUAUGAAUGUCUACAUACAUUUGCAUACAUUUAUUCAUAUAUAUGCCCAUUACAGAAAUGUUUGCAGAUUUUUUCACUGUGUGGGAGGUUGGCAUUUCAUGAACUAAUUUCAUAGUGCAUGGAGUUUUGAUAGAUAUAAUUUGUAAGAAAAUAUUUUACAGCACUGCCAAAUCACAGUGAAUAGCAGUUUUUAUUCUGAAGUUUAAUUAAUUGUCUUUUUUUGUGUCCAUUUCUAAAGGUAGGUUGCAGGUCAGGCUCCUCUACCAGACAUGGACUGGCUACAGAGCUUUCUCUGCAGAGAAUUACACCAGACGGGCAUUCACUUUACGAUCACUAGGGCCCUGCCAAUUUCACGGCCAUAAAAACAUGGCAUGGACUGUGAAAUCAGCCCUCCCCCAUGAAAUCUGAUCUCCUCUGCUGCUGGGAGCUCCUAGCUGCUAGUCCUUCCAGGACUUGUCCUUCCCCUGCAUGGCUGCUCUUGGUGGGGAGAUCAGAUCCAUCUCCAGAGACAGCACAGAAAUGAGGGUGGUACACCCUUACUUCUGCACUGUAGCAGCCCAGGAGCUGGGCUCUGGCUUUCCAUCCCUGCUACCCCACAGUUCCUGGCAUGACUCUGGGAGCUGAGCUCCCAGCUUCACCUUCGUCCCACAGCCAGGGCAACCUGGGCUUGAGGCUUCUGCACCUCCCCCUGUCGGAGCAGCUUGGGGCUUCCGCCCCCCCAGUCGGGGCUCAGGGCAGUCUGGGCUCGAGGCUGCCCGGGCUCAAGGCUUCAGCCCCGCGGCUGCAGGUGGAACUCAGGGCACCCAGGCUCGGAGCUUCUUCCCCCAGGGCUCCUGUCGGGGCUUGGGGUGACCCAGUUGGGGCUUCUAACCUAGGGCUUCUUCUAGGGCUGGGGCAUCCAUUUUUCCAGGUUGCCCCCAGAUUGUCCAGGGGCCCCUUCCUUAAUCUGUCACUGGCUUGGACUAGCAACUAGGAGCCCCCGGCUGGGGCACUCCUAGCAGCAUGGGGAGAUCCUACCCACCUCCAUGUCCCGGAACCUCCUCUAACUGCAGGAAGCUCGGAAGCUGCUGCCUAGACAGCACAGAAGUGAGGGUGUUAAUAUUGGGACCCCGCCACAACAACUUUGCAACCCCCCUAGAUCCCAUUUUGGGUCGGGAUUCCCAUGGUUACACUGUGAAAUUUCAGGUAUAAAAAUCUGAAA